rnacentral:rRNA from 1 species
UUAAGCACAGAGCUUCAGCAGGUGACAACAUUUGACCAAUCUCAAAAAGCUAAGCUGAUCCAAAUCUGGUUAGCACUUGGAUGGGAGACCCCCAGGAAAUUCCAAGACUAUACUAGGA